GCAGCGUUGGUGAAUAAGUCAUCUUCUUUCUUGAAAGAUGAGUACUUGAUUCCAGGGUCAUGGUGGGUUGAGAAGAAUAGGAGUAUGGUUCUUGAUGAGAAUGGGGAGUGGAUUUUGGCACCACCUUCAGAUGAGGAUCUUCCAGUCCCUGAAUAUUGAAUUGCUUUCAGAAAUAUUUAGAAAUGAGUAGUUUGUUCAGUUUGCAGUUUUCUCAGGAGUAUGGUUCUUGAUGAAGAUGGGGAGUGGAUUUUGGCACCACCUUCAGAUGAGGAUCUUCCAGUCCCCGAGUAUUGAAUUGCUUUCAGAAAUUUUUGGAAAUGAUUAGUUUGUUCAGUUUGCAAUUUCCUAAUUGAUAUUGUUAAUCUUGCUUUGGACUUGUAAAUGCAAAAGCGUCCAAUGCCUAUCUUGCAAACAAUGUGUAUAUUAUCACCGACGCUCUAUUGUACUAAUGUCAGGUGAGGUAGGGUGGAUCCACUCCUUCGGCACCAGGUUCAUACAAAUCCAGUAUUUUCGACCUAAAUUAUAAAUUUUUAUAGAAAACUCUGGAAAAUCUCACCAAAAAAUAGAUUUGAACUCAUAAUUUGAAAAGUACAAUGAAAGAAACUAAAAGGUCGAACCCAUCAAAUUAAGAUCCUAGAUCCUUCUCUUAGUGCAUCACUCAACUUGACUUCUGCAAAUCUAAGAAGUUACAGGGA
rnacentral:lncRNA from 1 species